rnacentral:lncRNA from 1 species
GGCCUGCCAUCGAUGUUUCAGGUUUGCUGAUGACCCACCAAUGGAGAAUCAUCGAGGAGAGAGUCGCUACUCCUGGUGGUUCCCACCUCUUGGUUGUGUUCGGGAAAGGAGAAGGGAGGAAGAAAAGGAAAAUGUGUUCGAAUUUUGGAUUCCGAUUUGAAGCCUAGUUAGACUCAAUUAGUUUGAAGGAGAAUUUUGCAAUUAAGCUCUUGAAAAAGUACUUAUUAUAUAAAGA